rnacentral:rRNA from 1 species
UACGUAGGGUGCAGGCGUUAAUCGGAAUUACUGGGCGUAAAGCGUGCGCAGGCGGUUUCUUAAGUCAGAUGUGAAAGCCCCGGGCUUAACCUGGGAACUGCGUUUGAAACUGGGAGACUUGAGUGUGGCAGAGGGGGGUGGAAUUCCACGUGUAGCAGUGAAAUGCGUAGAUAUGUGGAGGAACACCGAUGGCGAAGGCAGCCCCCUAGGUUAACACUGACGCUCAUGCACGAAAGCGUGGGGAGCAAACAGG